rnacentral:lncRNA from 1 species
UCUUGCCAUAUCUAUCUGCGAUCCAUCUAAUCAAUGUCUGUUCGGUGUGAUGCCAGAGGCGGAGAAUAUACAAGUUUUUCUGCCCGAUAAUGAACAGGUCAUAUUUUGUCAAGAUAUCGUUUCAGUCGCUAUUUCUAUUGGCGAUUUGAUUGUUGCUUGACGAUAUUUUUAUCUUCUCGAUUUUUUUUUACUGAUCGGUUAUCGUAAUGUUUCGUCCACAGUUAUUUCUUCUUUAGGUUUUAGAUCACAUGGAUAUUAAUUUAAUGGGUCCCUUUUUGGAAUAAGUUGGUUGCAGAGAUCUUGUUGUCGUUUUGGACCCUUUGGAUUUUUAGAAGCUGAAAUAAUGUUUAUGAUCAUGGAUUUGAAUUGAUUGAUGAUAUACAGCAAGAAUUCAGAUCAAUUAUUUUGUUACAGUUUUGAAAUUUCCGACAAAUGUACACAGUAAAUAAUCCUAUUCUGGAUAGAUAAUCGCAGAUCGAUUGAUUUGGGACAUAAUGUCAUGACAUUAUAGACUUAAUAUUAUCAUUAUUAUAUGAUCUUAUCUUACUUUGGAAUUCUUCUCGUCAUCUCGGCGCCGCGGUUUAAAAUAUUCGGCGGAGAAUUUUUGGUCCAAGUCAGUGGUGUUGGUAAAUUCCUCAGACUCGAUACAUCGAACACUUCGAUGAAUCUUUGAUCAGAAAUUCUCGCUUUUGCUCCGGCAAAUCUUUGGUAUUCAUCGAAUAUGGACGUUAAACACCAGCUCUGUAGCUUUCUUAAACAACCCACAACGCAUCCUGUUCGAUGCUGUUUAUAUAAUAUUCAGAUCAUCAGAUUUCAAAAUUGGUAGUUUAUUUUUUUUAAUAUUUUGUUGACUGGUGUUUCUUUAUUUUUUUUUACCUUGCCUCUUUUGCAGUGGAUCAGAAUUGGGUGAUUCCUUACAUCUGCAACAGUCAGUCGGAAGGAAAAAUAUUUUAGAUCCAUGGAAAUUAAGAUUUUUUUCUAUGAAAUUAUGGGUUAUGUUUAUACCAAGUAAGAUUUUGAGUGAUUCACGGAUCGUUUCAUCAGGAAUGUUAACAAAAGGUUCCUGCAAAUAAAUUAUUUUUAAUAUCAAAAUCAAGAGAUCAUCAUUCAUUUUUUGUUCAUUCUUGAAAAAUCGGUACCUUUGUUCCAUCAAUACCGAAUUGGAAAAGAGUGAUUCCGUUUGCAUCAAGGAAUUUCAUGUUGGUUUCAGAGUAUGAUUCUGGACAGAGAUACCUAUCAAAAAUAUCACAUGACAGAUUGAUUCAAUUAUCUAAAAAGGAAUGAAAAUAACUUGAAUAUAGAGUAUAAUAAUGUUAAUUCUUACAAAAUUGAUUUGAGUUUCAGAGUCCUUAGGAAGCUGAAGUUAGUUGACAUAUCUGGGAAACCAGACCUGAAAACACCGUUGUCCACCAUAGAGAAGUUGAUAGGAGGAACAAGGAAUCCUCUCCGAGCAUCUACCAUCACCUUUUCAAUCAUAUUUUGUGCAGAUGGAGAUUGAUUAAUCACAGUAUCUCUUCCAGAAUCUUCACUAUCAUUCUCUUUCAACACAAGGCCAUUUAAAAAAACAUUCAUAUCUUUGCAAUCACCACCAGCAUCAGCACUCAUCUUAAUCUGCUGAUGUACAUGAGCAGCAGCAGUAGAAGCAGCAGCACCGCCAUCCUUGUUUAUGGAAACACCCAUUUUUGUUAUCACUGCUAAUUUAUCGCCGCCUCCGAUCUCAAAGACGGACCGGAGUGGCGUUUGAGACGUGCAGAAAGAUGGGUAGGAUUUUUAAUAAUCAGAAUGGGAGAGAAGGGGAAAUUUGUGGAUGUUCAGAUACUCUGAUGUUUGAUAGAGUUCUUGGUGAUGUCUUGCAGUCUUUAUAUAUUCUUUUUUUUCUUCAUUCCAGUUAAUAUUUUAAUAACAAGUUUGUAGUCUUAUCGCGUGCACAAUGACCAGGUUUCAAACUAGAUUUUUAUUUUUUUGACAGCAAAUAUCUCCUUUCAAUUAUCCAAGGGUGAAUUUUUUUAUCUAAACAGAGAGGUAAACACAAGCAACUCCAGAUCAGGUAAUCUUGCUUAAUUACUUGAUUGAUUAUAAAACAAUAUCUUCUGCUUUGAAACUCUAAUAUUAAAUGAGUGUCAUAUUCAAUGUAUCUUACAUAGUUACAUUGGUAGUUUAUUUUAUUUAGAACACUUGUUAUAACCACUAAUUGGAAGCAAUUUAUUAUCAAGAUUUUUUUCUUAGUUUUCUGCUGUUCACAAGAAUUUGAUUGGAUGUAAUCUUUUACUUUGUCAAUUGCCUACGUGUUUGCCUUUACUUCCAAGUUUUUAUUCUGGUCUUCAAAUCUAGAACUAUCUCUUUCUAAGUUCUUCAUCUCUUUGAUUGAAUAUGCUAUGGAUCUUUUAGAUUCGUCCAAUACCACUUUUUUAUAGGUGCUCUUCUGUUGAAUCCUAGCAGUGACUGUCCUACUUGUUUCAAUGCUAGCAGGGACUACCCUACUUGUUUCAAUGCUUGCAGUGCUUUGUUUCAUUAUCUUUGAUCACUGGUUUGGAAGUUAGGACCGUUGACUCUACUACAGCUUUGUUUUGAAUUCCUUUUCAGAGAGUUGUCCAAAUUUGAUUUUUCUUUCUUUCUUUUGAGCCAAAACUAAUGGCAGACGGAACAAAGAUGUUUCAAUUUGGUUAUCUAAUCUAAAGUUUCAUUUCUAAGUUGUUUUACAGCCGCCUUUUUGAAUGGAAAGUGGAUAAGUAUAAUUUUAUGUAGUGGUAUUUUUGUACUUCGAAUGUUAUCGUUUUUUUUAGUACUGAAACUCUGCAGAUGCCCAUUUGAUGUGUUAUGUAGACAACUAUUUUGAUUAUAGAUGUCUAAUAAAAUUUAUUAUUGAUGAUAUUAAAAUGGGUGGCAAUAAAUACUUUCUGAGUUUGUUGAGUUUAGUAAUUGGAAUGAGUACUUACGAUACGAUUUUAACACGAUGCGAACAUGAUACUUUCAUAAUAGUGUUUAGUUAGCGUCAAAAGUUUUAACACGAUUAAUAAUAGUGUCGAUUUAGUGUGUUGAAUAGAUACACAACUUU